ensembl:snRNA U6 U6 spliceosomal RNA
AUGCUUGCUUCGACAGCACAUGUACUAAAAUUGGAACGAUACAGAGACAAUUAGUAUGGCCUUGUGCAAAGAUGACAUGCAAAUUUGUGAAGCAUCACAUUAAAAA